AAUAAGAAAGUAACGCAGUUUUUAUCGUUAUAACAACCAUUAAACAAUUUGUCACCCUAGAUUGUUCAGUCAAAUAUAGUCUUUAAAAUGUAAUGUUCAUAGAAAUAGUGUUUUUUAACCACUUUCUUUCGUAUUGUUUAUUACUUUUGGUGUUAUCUCCCGUAGUUGUCAUGAGCUAUUUUUUAACCCAAAUUUGAGGAUGUAGGUCAAGCUGAACCAAAGGCAUUUUCCAUCAAAUUAGGAAUUUGUUGGUCAAGCACCUGCUGUACAUAGAACAACAAUCCAUUACAGCUUUGACUAUGCCAAGCAGGUCUUCUACCCAUACUAGGCACAGCAAGAGUGCCCUGCUUUGAAGUGUUCUGUAAAUCAUAUGGUUCACAGAAAUCUCAGUGAUGGAGGGUUUAGCUGUUAUGUGGCCAAUGGUGUGGUACCUCAUUUUCAACAACAUCCAUAUAGAGAAGACUCUGCAUACCUGCACAUUGACAACUAUGUUGGGUGGAAUAAAAACAAUGCAGUCAUUGGGGUCUGAUGUAUUCUGAAGGGAGAGAAACAGCAUUUACUUAAAUGAAUGCAGGUGACAUAAAGUUCAGUGCUGUGUGAGAUUUGGUCUGUGGAAGACCAAAUGGAGGCAGCACACAUCCUUUGUGGAUUGAUGACCUUGGCAAACUGGUUAUAUUCUUUGACUGGUUGGAGUACACCAAGUGACCCCUGAAGUCCAUUCCAAACUUAAGGAAAUAUCAUCACUUCAGAACUUCAGCUGACCACCCAGUGAGUGAAUUCAUGAGAGAGCAUGCCAAGGACAGUGAGAUUGAAGUUAAAAUUGACAAGCCCACAACAAUGGCUUUUCCAUUGAGAGUACCCUGAACACAUCCAACUAAAAGGACUUCAUGGAAAAAGGCUCUGAUCCCUUAAAUAAGUGAAAAAGCUAAUAUACUGAUAUGUGAUCUUUAUAAACUAAAUAUAAGAUUUGAGAAUGAGCCUGUUACUGAGCUGAUGAAAGCGUGUAUCAAUUCUUUAUUGACAAUUAUUUAUUCAAUAGAAACAUGUUCAUGUGAUAUGAAGCUACCAGUGAUUUUGAGUGAAAAAACUGUGGUUUUAGCAAAUGAUUGAUAGAAGGGUGCUACACCCUGUCUUUUGACGGUAGAGCCCCUCUGCCAUAAUGGAGACCAAUAUAUGAUUAUUAUUAAUACAAACUUAAAACAA